AUUGAACGCUGGCGGCAGGCCUAACACAUGCAAGUCGAGCGAGCGGCGGACGGGAGAGAAAUGUAUGGGGACUGCACGAUAGAGGGGGAUAACUACUGGAAAAGGUGGCUAAUACCGCAUACUAACGGAUAACCCAUAUGGGAUUAGCUAGUAGGGUGGGUAAAGGCUCACCUAGUCGACGAUCUCUAGCUGGUCUGAGAGGAUUAACAUCCACCCCGGGACUGAGACACGGCCCAGACUCCUACGGAGGCAGCAGUGGGGAAUAUUGCACAAUGGGCGCAAGCCUGAGGCAGCCAUGCCGCGUGGAUGAAGAAGGCCUUAGGGUUGUAAAGUACUUUCAGCGUGGAGGCGUUACCCGCAGAAGAAGCACCGGCUAACUCCGUGCCAGCAGCCGCGGUAAUAC
rnacentral:rRNA from 1 species